UGCCCACCAACUCCUAUCCCUACCUCCACGUGGUACCGGCCGGAAACUUUGAGCAUUGAGCAACCUUAGGGAUGAUCGGGUAACCAAUCCCGGAGGGAACUUUGGUCGUAGGCUGACAGGGAACG
rnacentral:ribozyme from 1 species